GGGUUGUGAGGUUAAGCGACUAAGCGUACACGGUGGAUGCCCUGGCAGUCAGAGGCGAUGAAGGACGUGCUAAUCUGCGAUAAGCGUCGGUAAGGUGAUAUGAACCGUUAUAACCGGCGAUUUCCGAAUGGGGAAACCCAGUGUGAUUCGUCACACUAUCAUUAACUGAAUCCAUAGGUUAAUGAGGCGAACCGGGGGAACUGAAACAUCUAAGUACCCCGAGGAAAAGAAAUCAACCGAGAUUCCCCCAGUAGCGGCGAGCGAACGGGGAGGAGCCCAGAGCCUGAAUCAGUGUGUGUGUUAGUGGAAGCGU
rnacentral:rRNA from 1 species